rnacentral:rRNA from 1 species
CCUAUGGAGGCAGCAGUAGGGAAUCUUCCACAAUGGACGAAAGUCUGAUGGAGCAACGCCGCGUGAGUGAAGAAGGGUUUCGGCUCGUAAAGCUCUGUUGGUAGUGAAGAAAGAUAGAGGGAGUAACUGGCCUUUAUUUGACGGUAAUUACUUAGAAAGUCACGGCUAACUACGUGCCAGCAGCCGCGGUAAUACGUAGGUGGCAAGCGUUGUCCGGCUUUAUUGGGCGGAAAACGAGUGCAGGCGGGUUCAUUAAGC